rnacentral:rRNA from 1 species
CGUAGGUGGCGAGCGUUGUCCGGAAUUACUGGGUGUAAAGGGCGUGUAGGCGGGAAUGCAAGUCAGAUGUGAAAUGCCGAGGCUUAACCUCGGAGCUGCAUCUGAAACUGUGUUUCUUGAGUGUCGGAGAGGAGAGUGGAAUUCCCAGUGUAGCGGUGAAAUGCGUAGAUAUUGGGAGGAACACCAGUGGCGAAGGCGACUUUCUGGACGAUAACUGACGCUGAGGCGCGAAAGCGUGGGGAGCAAACAGGAUUAGAUACCCUGGUAGUCACGCCGUAAACGAUGGAUACUAGGUGUAGGGGGUAUCGACCCCCCCUGUAGCCGCAGUUAACACAAUAAGUAUCCCACCUGGGGAGUACGGACCGCAAGGUUGA